GACGAAGGGGGGCUAGCGUUGUUCGGAAUUACUGGGCGUAAAGCGCGUGCAGGCGGUUGCCUAAGUCGGGUGUGAAAGCCUUGAGCUCAACUCAAGAAUUGCGCUCGAUACUGGGUGACUAGAGGACCGGAGAGGAUAGUGGAAUUCCCAGUGUAGUGGUGAAAUACGUAGAGAUUGGGAAGAACACCAGUGGCGAAGGCGGCUAUCUGGACGGUUUCUGACGCUAAGACGCGAAAGCGUGGGGAGCAAACAGG
rnacentral:rRNA from 1 species